rnacentral:rRNA from 1 species
GGAGUGAAGAAGGCCCUUGGGUUGUAAAGCUCUUUCGUCGGGGAAGAAAAUGACUGUACCCGAAUAAGAAGGUCCGGCUAACUUCGUGCCAGCAGCCGCGGUAAUACGAAGGGACCUAGCGUAGUUCGGAAUUACUGGGCUUAAAGAGUUCGUAGGUGGUUAAAAAAGUUGGUGGUGAAAUCCCAGAGCUUAACUCUGGAACUGCCAUCAAAACUUUUUAGCUAGAGUAUGAUAGAGGAAAGCGGAAUUUCUAGUGUAGAGGUGAAAUUCGUAGAUAUUAGAAAGAAUACCAAUUGCGAAGGCAGCUUUCUGGAUCAUUACUGACACUGAGGAACGAAAGCAUGGGUAGCGAAGAGGAUUAGAUACCCUCGUAGUCCAUGCCGUAAACGAUGUGUGUUAGACGUUGGAAAU